AUUCCAGCUCCAAUAGCGUAUAUUAAAGUUGUUGCAGUUAAAAAGCUCGUAGUUGGAUUUCUGGUAGGAGCGACCGUGCCGAACUUGAUUGUUCGUGUAUUGUGUUGUCUUCAGCCAUCCUCGUGGAGAACUUUUCUAACAUUAACUUGUUGGGAUUGGGACCCGCGUCGUUUACUGUGAAAAAAUUAGAGUGUUUAAAGCAGGCAUUAGCUUGAAUACAUUAGCAUGGAAUAAUAAGAUAGGACUUUGGUACUAUUUUGUUGGUUUGCAUACCAAAUUAAUGAUCAACAGGAACAGUUUGAGGAUAUUCGUAUGAACAUGUCAGAGGUGAAAUUCUCGGAUUUUGAUCAGACGAACUACUGCGAAAGCAUUUAUCAAGGAUGUUUUCAUCA
rnacentral:rRNA from 1 species